CUCGAAUAUCAUCUAGUGCAUUUAAAGGUGAGGUUUUUUUUGCUACAUUUCCAGGGUUGUUACGAAACCGUAUUAGGUUCAGUAUAACAGGUAUAAUUUACAAGAUCAUUUAACUAGUUACUUGGAUAACUGGGGAAAAUUUAGAGUUAAUACAUGCAGGAACCUCGUAGAACCUAUGAAAUUAUUAGUCAAACCAAUCGUCCUCGAUCACCGACGACAGAUCUUUCAAAUAUAUGCCCUACCAACUAUUGAUGGUAGUAUAGAGGAUUACUAUGAUUGCAACGGGUAACGAGGAGUUCGAUUCCGGAGAGGAAGCCUGCGAAAUGACUACCAUAUCCUAGGAAGGCAGCAGGCGCUUAAAUUAUCCAAUCCCGGAACGAGGAGGUAGUGACGAG
rnacentral:ncRNA from 1 species